rnacentral:tRNA from 1 species
GCCCCUGUAGUGAAAUAGGUAAACACGCUAGACUUAAAAUCUGGAGUAUAUGAGUUCAAGUCUCAUCAGUGGUA